rnacentral:rRNA from 1 species
ACGUAGGGGGCCAGCGUUGCUCGGAAUUACUGGGCGUAAAGGGUCCGUAGGCGGUGCGGCAAGUCGGAAGUGAAAUCUCGAGGCUUAACUUCGAGGCUGCUCCCGAAACUGCCGUGCUCGAGUGCGAGAGAGGCGAGUGGAAUUGCAGGUGUAGCGGUGAAAUGCGUAGAGAUCUGCAGGAACACCCGAAGCGAAAGCGGCUCGCUGGAUCGCAACUGACGCUGAGGGACGAAAGCUAGGGGAGCAAACAGGAUUAGAUACCCUGGUAGUCCUAGCCCUAAACCAUCAGAACUGGGCGUGAGUCCUGUACGGGGCUCGUGCCGUAGCUAACGCGAUAAGUUCUGCGCCUGGGGAGUACGGUCGCAAGGCUG